GGAGAGGUGGCUGAGUGGUUGAAAGCGCCCGCCUUGAGAGCGGGUUUCCGGGCUAAAACCCGGAACGGGGGUUCGAAUCCCCCCCUCUCCG
rnacentral:tRNA from 1 species